UCCUGGGUGGCUCAGUGGUUGAGCAUCUGUCUUUGGCUCAGAGCAUGAUCCCAGAGCCCCAGGAU
rnacentral:tRNA from 1 species